AGGGAAAAAGGAAAGAGGGAGGAGAGCACGGCUGAGAAACCAAGGGGAAGGAAGAAAAGGAAAGGAGAAAGCCUCGGCGGUUAUCAAAACUCAAGCUAAAAAUUAUGAAAAAUUUAUUAUGAGGUCACGCGCCAUUGUCUGUCUGAUUUGUGAUAUGUCUGAUCUGCUUCUACAACUAUCUGUGAUCAGGGCGUGACCAAGCUUAGAGGCGUCUGGAAUCAGUUUUUGACAACCAACGUCUUUGUGUAUUUUGUAAAUAGGGCUAAGUCCCUUUUUGUCUAGCUAGAAUAUGUAUAUAUAUAUAUAUAUAUAUAUGAUGUGUACAUGUAUGCAAAUAAAAUUAAUUUUUUUUU